UACAGAGGUCUCAAGCGUUGUUCGGAUUCAUUGGGCGUAAAGGGUGCGUAGGCGGCGCGGUAAGUCGGGUGUGAAAUCUCGGAGCUUAACUCCGAAACUGCAUUCGAUACUGCCGUGCUUGAGGACUGGAGAGGAGACUGGAAUUUACGGUGUAGCGGUGAAAUGCGUAGAUAUCGUAAGGAAGACCAGUGGCGAAGGCGGGUCUCUGGACAGUUCCUGACGCUGGAGGCACGAAAGCGUGGGGAGCAAACAGG
rnacentral:rRNA from 1 species